rnacentral:lncRNA from 1 species
AUGGGACUGCCAAUGAGUGUCUCCCGGAGGGAAGUGAUUCAAGACAAAGACCCAUUCUGCCAGUGAGAUAUGCUGGGAAUACCAACUAACACUUGUUACAGAGUGUGCAUGGCGGCUGCUGACAGGCCUUCCCAGUGCCAGCAAGUGGAUACAGAAGCAAUCUCCCAAGCUUUCCAUGACAUUCAAGUGACCAGGCACUUGGACACCCAUCACUGGGGCUGUGUUCCUACCUUAGCCAGUGCCCACAAGCAGCAGCGGUUCCUCUGGCGUUUUGACCCUGAGAGAAGAUGGAAAACCCUAGGUGCUGGGGAUCAUGGAGAUGCUGGCCCCUUCCAACAGCAGCCUCGCUCUUCUUCCUUUUACCACCAAACCUGGAUGCCUCUCUUCUUCCACACUCUCUGCCCUGUCCUCUUAUCCAUUCUCCUCCUCUUCUCUCUCCCUCCAUUCCCCUUCCCUUUCAGAGGUUACCAAUAA